UACGUAGGGUGCAAGCGUUGUCCGGAAUUAUUGGGCGUAAAGAGCUCGUAGGCGGUUCGUCGCGUCGGCUGUGAAAACCCGGAGCUCAACUCCGGGCCUGCAGUCGAUACGGGCGGACUUGAGUGUUGCAGGGGAGACUGGAAUUCCUGGUGUAGCGGUGAAAUGCGCAGAUAUCAGGAGGAACACCUGCGGUGUAGACGGCUUACUGGACCAUCACUGACGCUGAGGCACGAAAGCGUGGGUAGCAAACAGG
rnacentral:rRNA from 1 species